rnacentral:tRNA from 1 species
GCCUUCAUAGCUUAAUGAUUAAAGCCUCACUCUACGAAAGUGAAUGAUCCAAGUUCGAAUCUUGGUGAGGGCACCA